CGAGAGGAUUCAGUCUGGAGGCGCGGUCGCGCUGGUCGGAAGAACAGAGCAGGGCUUCCCGUGAACCGGGGCCGUCCGACCGCGAUUCCUCCGCGUAGCCAGACGCAUUUGUCUCUCGUCCGAAGGACGCCGCAGCCGGUCGGGCAGCGCAAGCGUGACGGCCUGAGGGGCGGGAGAUGGCAGGUGGCCAGUGGCGCGCCCCGUGCGCGUCGCUGGUUGUUAGCCGUCCCGCCAGUGGCUCGUCGCCCGACCGAGGUGCCGCUAGGCCCGUACGGGCCCCAUCGCCUCCUCGCACUUUGAAGUCGUGACAGGGCGCGGCAAGUGAAGGCUGCCGGCCGUCGCACUCCUCCGGAGUGGGCGGUCGAGCAGUCGGCUCUGUUAGCCGCGACGGGCACGUCGGAGGCCGGAGGCUUGCGGCGAGUAGGUCGGUCACCCACCCGACCCGUCUUGAAACACGGACCAAGGAGUCUAACAUGUGCGCGAGUCAAUGGGUCUUGAACAGGCCCAGGGGCGCAAUGAAAGCAAAGGUCGGCGCCCGUCGACCGAGUUGGGAUCCCCCUCCUCGAGGGGGGGCGCACCAACGACCCGUCCUGUGCUGUUCGCAGCUUGGGCGGAGUGUGAGCGCACACGUUGGGACCCGAAAGAUGGUGAACUAUGCCCGGACAGGACGAGGCCAGAGGAAACUCUGGUGGAGGUCCGCAGCGGUUCUGACGUGCAAAU
rnacentral:rRNA from 1 species